CUUUCUUAGUCGAGGGCUACUUGGAAUUUAAAAAAAAAAAUUUAGACCUGCAGGGGCACUUCUCCGAAAACGUUUGAGAAACACUGAUCUAAAUGAAUGAUGGCGUACAUGUGCUAAAUUAUGUAUCAGGAUAAUUGACAUGGGAACUGCAAAACAAAGGCAAAUUAAAGAAAUUGGUAAACAUUCUCCAAUUCCGGUUUUUG